UACGAAGGGGGCUAGCGUUGUUCGGAAUUACUGGGCGUAAAGCGCACGUAGGCGGAUAUUUAAGUCAGGGGUGAAAUCCCAGAGCUCAACUCUGGAACUGCCUUUGAUACUGGGUAUCUCGAGUAUGGAAGAGGUGAGUGGAAUUCCGAGUGUAGAGGUGAAAUUCGUAGAUAUUCGGAGGAAUACCAGUGGCGAAGGCGGCUCACUGGUCCAUUACUGACGCUGAGGUGCGAAAGCGUGGGGAGCAAACAGG
rnacentral:rRNA from 1 species